AAGAAACAAAAUCCACCUGAGUAAACUGAAAGAUCCGGGUGGCUUUAUUCAAUGAUUCAUGAGUCUGGCAGUAUCGUAUCUAGCAAAUAGAUGGCAUCUCCAUGGAGUUGUAGAAAAGGAAAGGCUCUUUAAGGCAGAGAGAGAAUGGAAAAGAAGAUAUUAUUAGCAACGAAUAUGUCCUUUUAGGCAUCUGUAUAACUUCUUUGUGCAGAUGUGUGUUCAGAUAUACCUAUUGUCAGGUUAUUUGUUUUCUUAUUGUUGAGUUCUGAGAGUUUUUUGUAUAGUUUGAAUACAAAUCCUUUAUCAGGUAUGUGUUUUGCAAAUAUUUCCUUGCAAUCUGUGGGUUGUCUUUUAGUUCUCUGAGCAAGAUCACUUACAUAGUAGGAGUGUUAAUUUUAUGAAGUUCACAUUAACAAUUCUUUUUUACUUUUGUAAAAUUUGCCUGUGUCUCUGCCUCUCUCUGUGUCGCUCAUGAUUUUAUUUAUGAGAGACAGACAGAGAGAGAGAGAGAGAGAGAGAGAGGGAGAAACAGACUCUGCACUGAGCAGGGAGCCCCACGCCAGACUGGGUCCCAGGACCCAGGGAUCAUGAUCCCAGAGGCAGGCAGACGGUUAACCGACUGAGCCACUCAGGUGCCCCAUACUUGUAUAUUUUAAAUUUAUGUAUAAUAAUUUCACUGUAAGUUAUAAAGUUUUUGUCUACAUUUUAUUCUAUAUCCUUUCCUUUUUUUAAAGAAGACUUUAUUUAUUCAUCUGACACAGAGAAAGACAGAGCACCAGCAGGCAGAGCAGCAGACAGAGGCAGAGGGAGAAGCAGACUCCCCGCUGAGCAAGUAGCCCCGUGCGGGGGGACCCCAGGGCCCCGGGAUCAAGGCCGGAGCCGAAGGCAGACGCUUAACCGACUGAGCCACCCAGCCGCCCGCAUUCUAUAUGCUUUCCAGGAGCCCCGCCUUCUCCGCCUCCGCCGCGGAGGUGGGGCCGCGUCCACACUGACAGGAGCCUCCUCAGGACCCGCCGCGGAGGAGGUGGGUGCGCGUCUACGCUGA
rnacentral:lncRNA from 1 species